rnacentral:Y_RNA from 1 species
CACUGGUCAGAGUGCAGUGAUGUUUACCAUUAAUUGAUGCCAACCUGUAGCAGAUUCCUUUGUUCCUUCUCCACUCCCACUGCUUCACCUGACUAGCCUUAA